rnacentral:rRNA from 1 species
UACGGAGGGUGCAAUCGUUGCUCGGAAUCAUUGGGCGUAAAGCGCACGUAGGCGGCCUGAUAAGUCGGGUGUGAAAGCCCUGGGCUCAACCCAGGAAGUGCACUCGAAACUGUCAGGCUUGAAUAUGGAAGAGGGUCGCGGAAUUCCCGGUGUAGAGGUGAAAUUCGUAGAUAUUCGCAGGAACACCAGUGGCGAAGGCGACUUGCUGGAUCGAUGCUGACGCUGAGACGCGAAAGCGUGGGGAGCAAACAGG